AGGUUCCCAGGCUAGGGGUCUAAUCAGAGCUACAGCUGCAAGCCUACCCACAGUCAUAGCAAUGCCAGAUCCGAGCAGCAUCUGUGACCUACACCACAGCUCAUGGCAAUGCCGGAUCCUUAACCCACUGAGCAAGGCCAGGAAUCGAACCUGCAACUUCAGGGUUCCUAGAAAGUGACCAACAGGUACUAGCUAUCAAGUUAAUUAUUGACCUUCUGUGAGUGCCACUUUACUUGUCUAAAAAUAGAAUAGUAUUCCCUGACUAAAUUUCUAACACACAAAAUCUUCUCGAACUAAAACACGCAGCAUAGCAAGGACUAACCUUCUUAAUUAACAGUAUACAAGUUUAAUGGGAUGCUAAUGGAAAAACUACUGAAGUGAGGAAUUUUGUUUUCAAAUAACCAAAAUAUAGAAGGAAAGCUUAUGAUUGAUAUGAAUUCAGGUGUAUCUCUAUGGGAUAUUUUGCAUUUCACAGCUGUUUCAUCAGGUUAGCAUCAAUCACAUUCUUUGUCUUUGUUCUUUAUUAUUUCUCUGAGUUUGUUGUAGGUAUUUUGAAUAAAGCUGAAUUUUCACAUUUAGUUUGUACAAAAAUAAAUAUGAAGGCAUAGGGGGAUUAUUUUCUAAUUGAUUACCUUAAAACUGGAGAAAAUAUCAAAAGUUUACCAAACAAAUUCUUUUGGACCAAAGGUGAUGAGUUUCUAUAAAAAUAAAUAAUGAUUUUCAAGAUCAUUCAGGAUGUUCCACUAAUAAAAUGUAUCAGAACUUAAUUAUAGACUGAUUAAUGAAUCUAAUUAUAGCUUUGAUUUCACAGCUAUAUGAAAAGUGAAAGAUCUAGUCAUCCAGAUGUUUUCAAAUAUUUAUUAUCAUGUAAGGAAAACAUCUGGAUGAGAAAGAUUUUGUUCUUGUUGUUGCAGUUGUUGUCUUUACUUUUCCUCCAAAUAUUUUAGCAUGUUAUAGAGAUACUCCAGAUAUCAAUCAAAAUAGGCAUAGUACAGAAAGAUCAUUAUUGUCUUUACUGGGUGUUAAAAAUCUUUAGCCUAUUGAUUUAUACAAAUGAAGAUACAGAAUGAAUAUUUAAUCUCAAUAGACUGAUAAAAGCAUCAUAAAUAUUAUUACCUCAUGAAAUUUCAUUAUAUAAAACACUAUGUUUUUUAAAAAUUCUAGAAGUUUAUUAUCAGAGGUUCAGCAGAAUGCGAUCUGCUCUGCCUUAUAGCUUUAUACUUGUGAUCUCAUGUAGGUUAUACCUAUCAUUAGGUGGAAAAUUGCUUCUAUCCUUUAAUUUGAAUUUUGAUGACCUACAUUGCUAAAUAUACAUAUUUUAAUAAUAUUAGAAAGAACACCUUUGCAUAUUUGGCCUUCAAUAGUCCAGAUAGAAUAAUACAAGCUGUUUCUACCUCUGUAGCUAUCCUUGCUCCAUCUUUUUUGUCACUAAAUUUGAUUUUAUAAUUAGAGACUAGUAAAGAGGAGGGUUUGGUUUUUGCUUAUUGUGUUUUUUAAGUUUUGAAAACAAAACUGUCACUUCUGUUUCUCCAUCUACUGCUCUUUUGGUAGUUUAAAAUUGGAAUAAAAGAAAUUAAUAAAAUACCUUAAACUUUCUUCUGAUGUUAUUAACCCAAAUAGUGUUUAGUGAGCCCAUAUACUGGCUGAUAGAAAAUAUUUUUAUCCCAGUAUAUGUUGUUAAGGCACUGGUGGUUCAGUGGUAGAAUUCUUGCCUCCCAGUAGAUGUUGUUAUAAAUUAUAUUGGAAAGGUGGGAACAUAUCUUAUUCAAGAAGUGCCCUUCCAGUUUUGAGGAUAUGGGAAUCCUUUAUUUUCUUCUUCUUUAGAAAUUAAAUUUAAUUUACAAGAUAUAACUUUGGGUAAAGUACUCGAGUUAAAAGUUACAUAUUCCAAAUUAUUCAUCUUAAAUGCAAACUCACUGGGUAAGCCUUCAGAGUCUGUCCAGUGUUUUGAGUAUGACUGUAGUGAUGGUCAAAAUACUAAAGCCAACCUUGAAACAGUGAAAUUUUGGGCAUUAUCUGGCCAGAGAAUGAAGGUGAUUUAUUAACCAUUCCUGUAACUCUUUAUUUUAUACACUUCAAAAAUUAUAAAUAAUAUCUGAAUUUUAAACUAACCAAGAUAUUAGGAAAAUAAACAAGAGGUUCAUAUUUCAAGGUAUAUUUAUUCAAAUGGAAUAAUCAUAUUAGAAAUAAACCAAAGAAAAAUUACUGGACCCACUCUUUAUGUCCCUGAAAUCCAAGGUGAUAUAUAGAUUCAGAGAAAAUUCCUUUAAGCCCUGACUCUUGUAAGGAUGGUCAUAUCGGUCCACAUCCUUUAGUUGCCUAUCCUUAAUUAGCAGAGCUGUCCAAACUGUUUUCAUAUAAAUCUCUGGAGAAAAAUGGAAUGUAAACUCUUUCCCCUAUUGUUAAUGCUUGUUUUAUAGAUGAUGGAGUAUGAAAUGAUUGAUCAUGUACUAUAAUGAUGGAUAAGGACAAUUUCUGGAAAGGUCAAACCUAUUAAAUAAAUCUUAGAAUAUAUUUAAAAACAUCGUAUCUGCCUCACUGGAGCAUGGUAACUCUUUUCAAUGACAGGUGGCCUUCACAUCAGAGCAGUAACAUCAGUGCCAAACAAUAGACAUUCAUACUCCACUAAAAGUGGUGGAGAAAAGAAGUGAGGAUUGUGAAAUAACCACUGCUAAAAUAAGAGCUUAUCUUGAAUAGAACAACAUAAAGACCUUGACUACAGCUUCAUAAUCCUGGAACAGCCUAAUGAAAAGCAAUGUGAAACAAACAAAACAAAACAAAUAAAGGAACAACAAAUAAUAAUCCCUUUAAACAGCCAGAUAUUUUUGGACACGUAACAUACAAAUACUGCAAAAAAAAAUUUUUCCGUGGCUGCAAAAAAAAAAAAAAAAAAAAAAAAUAUGCUAGUCCCUAAAAAAUGAAAGAAAACACAACAUUCCUAUCGAAUUUGCAUUUUUUUUCCAUGAUGUACUCAAAAGCUUUGUUUCUAUCAGCUUAGACGUUUAGAAAAAAUUUCCCCUAUAUUUAACAGAAUUAUAGAAGCAUAUAACUGGAAGGAACCUCAGUGAUCAUCUCCAAAACACAGUGCAUACUUUUAAAAAAAUCUCAUUUUUAUUCUGUCAUACAACAAAUUAACCAUUACACCCACCUUCAUUUAUAAUUCAGAUAUGAUUUUCUUAUCUUUAAAUUAUUUGUAAAAGAUAAUAUUUGGGUAGUAUUCCAUCACAUGCAUUCAUCAACCUAAUAUUAAUCUAUUUAGCAAUCCUCUUUAGGAUCUAUUCCCAAAUUCCAAUUGUUUUUUAUAGUUGCUUGAAUAGGCUAAAAUCAUUCAUAUUGUAUUUGCUGCCUAGAAUUUCCUAUAAAACUUAAUAUCCCUGGAAAAUUUCUUUUGAUUCUUUAUAAAUUAACCCAAGCAUGAAGUCUUUCUAGCCUUCCCCUGCUAGGGUUAGGUUGUCUCUCAGGCUGUCACAAUGCUGCAUUAUACAUGCCUCUUUUAUAGGAUUGUGUUAGAAAAUCCUAAGUCUUUUUCUUCCCCUGUAUGUCUUCUUUAUUCUCACACUACUAUCACACGUGCAAUAUUCUAACACCAGAUGUGUAGGUGGUGAGGUUUCUUACACCAAGCAAUUCUCUGUGACUUCAGCUGGGUGUCCUACAGUUUAACUCAAUUCUGACACUAUCUACCUGGCAAGAGAAUCAGAUCCCAUAGUUUAAAAGCUCAGUCCCAAGGGACAGUUCCUACCCCAGUUCAGAUGCCAAUAUCAAGUCCAGGUUUCUGACCAGUUGACUGUAAUUCUGACCAAUAGACUAUAAGCUGGGGUUCCCAUGAUCCCUUCUGUUAUUAGUUGCCCAGAGCUUUAAUCUGCUACGCUAGUAUUUUCACCUUCUCAAAGGUGGCCAGCUGUUCUGAUUCCUAGUCCCACACCUGAUAAAAAGAGUGUCCUCUCUUUACCAGGUGCUAUAGGGGAUGAAAGCACUGUUCCAACUGGGGAAUAAAAGUCCUCUAAAAUACCAAAUCCCUACUCCUUUCACAUUGGAUAGGCUUGCACCUUAUCGAUCACAGACUCUGGGACAACUUGACCCAAUCUGACCAAACUGCCCAAAACUUUAGGUCAAUGCCUUCACUUUGAAUUUUCUGUGAGUUCACUGCCCAUCCUCUGCUCUAAUAUGAAACUUCUAAUUGUUUCCAAAAACCCUCACAUGGAGGAAAUCUUGGGAUUCAUCUAUAGCAAGGGCAGGAGAGCCCAAUCAAAUAAGACUGUAUCCCUGAGGCCUCUGCUAGAGCAGAUGAGACAUCAGAGACGGUAGGAGAAGGUAGGGCAUCACAGAUGGUAGAGGUUGGGGCAGGCAGAAUCAUGGUUCAAGUUUUCAGGCUUUCCCCAGGACCAUCAAGAGAGCUUUGGGUCUAAAUAUUUGGGUCCAAUGUUUAGAAGGAGUUCCAAAAGCAAUGAGGUCAGACCACAUUUGCCUCCAGGUUGCUUUCUUUAUGGGCUUUGGCUUUCUAGCUCCCUCUCUGUUUGGAGUCUUUCCCACAGUCCACACACAUUCUGCAAUAGAACUGCCCAUCUUCAUACACGCCUUGUGCCAUGACUGGACGCAGCCUGGAUAUCAAUGUUCCAUACCAAGUUCUAGGGAAAACUGGAAUAUUUAGGUUUUCAUUCCUGCAGUAACUGUGACUCAAUCCGGGCCUUCAAAGAUGGGACGUAGAUGGCCUCUCUCAUUCCCAACUUCCUAAGAAUUUGUUGUACCUCCUUUACAUAUUUCCAGGGGCCCACAUGCUCAGAGAGAUCCUAAUUGGGCCACGUUUCCCUAAAGGCUAGAAUACUCCAGUCUAUAAAAUAAGUUGGUACCUUGAGACUACUGAGCACAAUGCAGGCACUGCAAGUGGGCAGGGUGUGUGGUGAUGUUGCUCAUUUUCUCUGCUUCCUGCCAGCCAGAGAAAUGCCAUCACACUCCAUAUCCCAUAGUUUCAUUUAUCAUGCCUGGAAACUUUCCAUGGCCUUUUUCUGGAACUUGACAGCCAUACCAAUAACCUCAGUGGAAGUAUAUUCUCUCAUUUAUGUUUCCUGAAGCGGGGGUUGCCUCACUGGCUUGGGUAGUUAUUGCUAUGCCAUUACUUUCCUUUGUAUCAGGGAUUGAACAGCAUGCACUUGGUCCAUGUCACAGUCAAUCACCACAACAUCUUCACUCUCCUCACUUUCCCAAGGAUUCCACCUCUUGGGGUCCCAAUCAGGCUUUGUCACCACACUUGGACCUUAAU
rnacentral:lncRNA from 1 species